CCAAUUGUCAUUAAAAAAUUGCGCCAAUCCAUAAAAUCCCCCGGAACACAUAAUAGAAAGUCAUGACUCUACAACAGAAAUACAAGCCUGAAAUACGAAAUCGAAAUAUUGUCUAAAACACUAACUGAAUAGAAAGAUACAUCAAGGAUUACGUUCGGAAUGCUGCUCUACCUCGUCGCUCAGCAGCUUAACAUCAAUCACAACAACUUUUGGCUGGGUCCAAUUGAAUCUGCAUAAUUAAGUACAAUGUAGUUUGAAUACAACUGACGUGAUAUACUCAACAAAUAUCAUAACAAAUUUCAGCGAAGUAAUAAUGGCUAGAACUACCAAUAAUACUCACUAACCGACCGCUCAAUUAUAGAUUGUACGAGUACAUAAUAAUGGUACCAACUAAGUGUAAACUACAUAUAUAACCAAAUUAGUGCACAUAAUAAAGGUCUCCAAGUCCCAUAUCCAUUAACAAUUCAGCAUAUAGAGAAUAUAUGAAUUAAGGAUCAAUUCAUUGUGUACAGAUUAACAUAUCGAAAAGAUAUGUACGCUGCCUUCACCGUCCAAUCAACAACUACAAAUCAAUAUAAUUUUACAAAUGUGAUUUGGAAAAGGUAAUAUAUAUAUAGACCUUACCUUUGCUUUGUGAGAUAGAGAAACCGUUUCCGAUAAAGCAUCGGCUCAAGAAACAAUAAAAAUUCACCGUCCAGUCAAAUAACAUAUAAAAAAUGGCAACUUCCAACCAUAAGAGUUGAAAUGCUCCCGGUUCACUCACUUGAUCUGAACAUACGCCUAAGUACAAAAAUCACCACAUAAACCUAAUGGAACCUUCAAAUCCCGAUUUUCACUCAGAAUGUUGAGUCAAGUCAAACUUGACUACCUUAGGUUACUAUUAUGGAACUAAGUGUUUCGGAUUUAACCUGAACUCUUACAAAACCAAACCAAGUGUUUCAGUAAGUCAUAAAACAAAAAAAGUAUAUACAGAAAGUAUUAAAUGGAGAAUAAAGAUCUGGAAUAUAAAAUGAAUGAUUGGGUCAUUACAUCUAAUAAGGAAUUACCUUGUGAAAGGGCAAGAGAUACUUUCAAGUAGGGGUGUACAAAGAAAACCGAUAAACCGCACCAACUCGAUAAUCCGAGUCAAAUCGAGAAAAAAAACCGACUAUGAUUUGGUUUGACUUGGUUUGGUGUUGGAAAAAAAACCCGACCAUAAUUGGUUUGNNNNNNNNNNNNNNNNNNNNNNNNNNNNNNNNNNNNNNNNNNNNNNNNNNNNNNNNNNNNNNNNNNNNNNNNNNNNNNNNNNNNNNNNNNNNNNNNNNNNNNNNNNNNNNNNNNNNNNNNNNNNNNNNNNNNNNNNNNNNNNNNNNNNNNNNNNNNNNNNNNNNNNNNNNNNNNNNNNNNNNNNNNNNNNNNNNNNNNNNNNNNNNNNNNNNNNNNNNNNNNNNNNNNNNNNNNNNNNNNNNNNNNNNNNNNNNNNNNNNNNNNNNNNNNNNNNNNNNNNNNNNNNNNNNNNNNNNNNNNNNNNNNNNNNNNNNNNNNNNNNNNNNNNNNNNNNNNNNNNNNNNNNNNNNNNNNNNNNNNNNNNNNNNNNNGCAAUAAUUUAGAUAAAAAUACAUAACCUAUUUUUAUUUUUCUUUAGCUUUUAGGCAUUCAUUAAUACUCCAUCAUUAAUCUAUCUAAUUUAGCAUGAAUUAGUGCUUUUAGAUUAUGUUUAUUUUUAUUGUGACUUUUUAAUUAGCAAUAUUUAUAGUACAUAAUUUUAUUAUUUUUUAUUGUUGAAUAUUUUAGGAUAAUGUCAUGACUCANNNNNNNNNNNNNNNNNNNNNNNNNNNNNNNNNNNNNNNNNNNNNNNNNNNGAUGUCAUGAGUCAUGACAUAUCUCAUAUUUUGUAUUAUUUUCUUGAAAAAUACUUUAUAUAGUUGUAUCUUGCUAGGAUUAAAGAAAUAUUUUGAGCAUACGUUACAUAUUUUGUUCUACGAAGAUUUUACCGGAAAUUUUUUCGAAAAAACCCGAAAAACCCGAGAACCCGAAAAAACCCGAGAAAAACCGAUAUUGAAAAAUCCGAAUUUAUUAGUUUGGUUUGGUUUGGUCUUUAGAUUUAAACUCAACACAAUUGGUUUGGUUUGGUAGUUGUAAAAUCCGAACCAACCCGGUCUAUGUACACCCCUACUUUCAAGCUUUAUCUCUAAAGUGAAAUUUCUUGUUUUAACAGAGUAGUGCAGGGUUAAUAAAUUACUGAAUAUGGGACAUAACUCAAAUAUACUGAAUUUUUAUUUUACUUCCUUGCAGAUUAGGAUAAACUGUCCUAAAAUUCUCCUUGAAGUUCAUGAUACAAUGUUCUAAAGUUUAAUGUUGCGUCAUGAAAUGAAUUUGUUUUAAAUACAGGCUUUGAGUAAUUUUGGUAGUGAAAGGAUAUCAAUAUUUCGAGUUUGAUGAUUGGUUUAAUCGGCAUAGUUGUUGGAGAGGAGAUUUACAACAUAAGUAAAAAACUGCAAAGUUCGUAUCGAAUCGAAAUGGAAAAAAAUGAGAGAAGGCGUCUUUGGAAAAGAAAAAAACCAGUUGAAAGUUGUUAAAUGUGGCAAGUUGAUUUACUGUUGUUUUGUUUUGGAAAUUAUAAGCGAUGAUAAAGAUUCAAUGGUUUAAGAUUUUUGAUCCCCAAGUGAAGUUUACAAAUAAAGCCUUUCAUAUGAUAGCUUCGGGAGGUAAUUUGGGACUUAGGAGCAUGAUCGUAAUGUGGUUUGGAUGUUCGGAGUAAAUUUAGGUUUGAAUUGGCAAAAUUGAAAUUUUGGCAUUUUUCGGUUGAUAGGUGAGAUUUUGAUAUAGGGGUCAGAAUGAAAUUUCAAAAGUUACAAUAGAUCCAUUAUGUCAUUUGGGAUGUGUGUGCAAAAUUUUAGGUAAUUCGGACAUAGUUGGAAUAGAAUUCUGGAAGUUGGAGUAGGUCCAUUGUGUCAUUUGUGAUGCGUGUGCAAAAUUUUAGGUCAUUCAGAUGGGGUUUGAUAGACUUUUUGAUUAAAAGCGAAAUUUGAAAGUUUUUGGAAUUCUUAGGCUUGAAUCCAAUGUGAAUUUAUUGUUUUGAUGUUGAUUUGAGCAUUCCGAAGGUUGGAACAAGUUUGAAUGAUGUUAUGAUUUAUGUUGGCAUGUUUGGUUGAGGUCCUGAGGGCCUCGGGUGAGUUUCGGGUGGUUAAACGGAUCACAUUGCAUGUUGAGGAGUUCCAUAUUUUUCUUUAGGUAUGUUGCAGAUAGUUUGUUCAUCGCGAUCGCGUGUAAGGGGUUGCGAUCGUGUAGGCUUAUUUUGGGGCUGAGGAAGAUCUGCGCUACGUGAUCGCAUGAGGCAUGUUGUGAUCGUGUGGGUCUGUAUGGUGUAGCUUCGCGAUCGCAUGGAGUUGGUUGCAAUCGUGUGAGUUUGUAAGGUAAAGCUUCGCGACCGCGUGGAGUUUGUUGCGAUCGCAUAAGGUUAAAUGAGGGCAGUUGGCUUUUGUGCUUCGCGAUCGCGAGGCAUUUUCCGUGAUCACAGUGAAGGAAUUUUAAAAGCUGGGCAGAAUGUUUAAAAGGCCAUGUCCGCAAAUUUGGGUCUAAGUUUCACCAUUGUUAGGCGAUUUUAGAGCUUUUUAUGGAGGAUUGAAGAGGGAAAUACUUGGAGAUAAGAUUUAUGGAUUUAAUACUCGAUUCUAAUGUGAUUUCUACCUAAUUAAUCAUGGAAUCUGUGGAAUGUAAAGCCUAAAAAUUGGAAGUUCGGGCUUGAAAAUUAGAGACCUAAAUCUAGGGAUUUGAGGGGUCAUUUGUGGUUAGAAUUUGAUGUAUUUGAUAUGUAUGAACCCAUGAGAGUGAAAGGAUUCUAGUUUUGUGAUUUUUAUCAGAAUCUGAGACGUGGGUCCGGGAGUCUGGUUUGGCUAAUUUCAAAUUUUUUAAUGUAAAUUAGUUAUUUUCGAGUUGGCUUUGUUCCCUUAGCAUAUUUUGAUGGUAUAAAUCUAUUUUGGGAGAGAUUUGGAGCAUUUGGAGUCCGAUUCGAGAGGAAAAUGCAUUGCAGGCUAGAGUUAGGAUCGGAUAGAGGUAAGUAAUGGUUGUAAAUGUUGUCUUGAGGGUAUAAAACCCUGAAUUUCACAUCGUUGUGCUACUUUGAGGUGAUGCACACGCUAGAUGACGAGCGUGGGGUCAUGCACUGUUGGGGAUUGUGACUUAGUCUGUCCCAUGUGAAUAUUAAACUACGUAUUUGAUCGAAAACUUUUUGCUAUCAUUGUGUUUUGGAAAGUAUUAUCAUGUUUUGGGUUGAAUGCCAUAUUUGGGCCUCGUGCCAACUAUUUUGGACCCUUAGAGAUUUCUGACUAAGUGAAGAAGAGGGCUUGUGUUCUGAGGUUAUUAUGGGAUCGGGCUACGUUCUGCAGUGGUAUUAUACUGAUUCAUGACUGUGAGGUCGAAUGCCUGAUUUGUUAUACCACAAGGUAGCUUGUCAUAAGGCCGAGUGCGUGUUGAUUAUGCCACGAGAUGGCUUGAUAUUGCGUUUGGGCUGUAAGAAGCCCCUCCCGGAGUCUGUAUAUCCCCAGUGAGUGUGGGUAGCCAGUGUGAGAUGUGAUAUAGCUUGAGGGGAAUAUGUUGUUCCAUGUUAUUUCCCGAGGGGCUGAUGUUUUUCCAUGUUAUUUCCUGAGGGGCUGAUACGACUAAUUGUGAGAUCGACCGAGGGGCUGGUUAUGGUGGUAUUUAUUCAUGUUUCCAUCCUUUUUUUCCCAUGUUUUUAUCACUCGUUUGAACUGCUAAAAAAUAUUUUAAAGAGGUUUUUACUGAACUAAGGUGUUUUUACAGGAUCUUAUAGUUUUAUUGCAUUGUUCUAGUUUUAUACUACUUCGUUAUAGCACUUUCCUGUGUUUUACGUGUUUUAUUAUCGCUCAGCUGCCUUUAUUUUUAUUACUUACUGAGUAGGCGUACUCACAUUACUCUUUAUACCCUGUGUGUAGAUUCAGGAUUCUCAAGUCACGCUAGCGAGGGUUGAUUUGCUUUUCAGCAGGCUUGUUCGGAGUUGACUAGGUAGCUGCUCGGCGUUCGCAUCCAGUGCUUCUCCUUCCUAUCCUUAUUUCACUUUGUUCUAGAUUUGUAUUAUAUUAUGUUGUCUUUUCAUACUCUUAGACGGUUUUAUAUAUUGUUUCCACAAUAUUCUAUUCUACUCUUUACUUUGGGAUUUAUAGCUUAUUAAUGACUUAAAAUGAAUUAUUAUAACUGCUUAGUUGGUUUGGGGGUUUGUGUCAGUUGGCCUUGUUUCAUGAUAGACACCAUCACGAUCAGGUCCGGUUUAGGGUCAUGAUAAGUUGGUAUCAGAGCCUAGGCUACAUAGGUUUCACGAGCCAGGAGCAAGUCUAGUAGGGUCUCACGGAUCGGUACAGAGACGUCUGUAUUUAUCCUUGGGAGGUUGCAAAAACUUUAGGAAAACUUCAUAUUCUUGAAUUUUUGUCAUGCGAAUCUGUUGAUCCUAGUACUAAACUUCUAUUAUUUUAUUCUAUCACAGAUGGUGGGGAAACGAGCGAUCGUUCAGGAUGGACGACCACCACCAGUACCACUAGUUAUGACCAGUAGAGGCCGAGGACGCAGUCGAAGCCGUGGCAGGGGUGAGGUGUAGCACGUACCACAACCAGGGAAGCGCCUGCAGAUCCACCAGCCACCCGAGUUCAGGAUCAGGUCCUAGUUGUGGAGGCUCCAGCAGCACUAGUUCAGGCACCAGUUAUGCCUAUUGUGAUCCCGGGCUUUCAGGAGGCCCUUGCCUAGAUUUUAUCAGUAUGCACUGGUCUAGUUCAGGCGGUCUCGGCUACUACAGCUGCAGCUAUUUCUCAUACAGGGGGAGGUAUUCAGACUCCCGCCACUUUCACACCUGAGUAGGUCGUGCAGGGACUUCAGAUACCGGGGGCACAUUCAGCCCAUUCGGUUGUAGCUGUUCAGGACCAGAGGACGAGUAGUACAUGUUGGAGAGGAUUGGUGGACUUCAGCCUCCAACCUUUAGUGGUGUAGAGGUUGUGGAUGCCCAUGGUUUCUUGGACAAGUGUCAGAGGAUUCUUCAAACAUCGAGUAUUCCAAAGACCGGUGGGGUAAAAUUUACUACCUUUUUGCUUUCAAGAGCCACCUUCACUUAGUGGGAGGCUUAUAAGAAGCGUAGUUCUAUUGGUGCAGCGCCCAUUACCUGGUAGUAGUUCUCUGUUCUCAUUUUGGAGAAUUAUGUGCCACAGUCUUGCAGAGAGGAGCUGUGUAGGCAAUUCGAGCAGUUAAGACAGAGAGAUAUGACUAUAAUGCAGUAUGAGAUGAGGUUCUCAAAGUUAGCUCGUCAUGUUAUUUGUAUGGUUGCUACAGAUAAAGAGAGGAUCAAGAGGUUCAUUGAUGGCCUCACCUAUCAGCUUUGGAUUCUCAUGACCAGGGAGAGGGUGUCUGGUGCUGCUUUUGAGGAGGUUGUUGACAUUGCUCGCAAAAUUGAGUCAGUUCUUCACCAGGAGAGAUAGGAGAUGGAGGCCAAAAGGCCUCGGGGAUCUAGUAGUUAUGGUGGUGCUCCUUCGAGAGGUCAGUUUCGAUAUGGAAGAGGUCGUCCAUUCUGGCAUGCUCAGUAAGUUCUCCCAGGUUAUCGUGGGGCAUUAUCGGGCCAAGGUUCUCAUAGUUCGUAUCAGGGCCGGUCAUCACUCAGUGCCCUUCCAGCUCAGAGUUCGUCAUGUGAUCCAUUAGUUCAGGGCUCUUCAAUGCCAUGUGCAUAUGCUAGUCAUUCCGGUGCUAGGGGUUCCCUUCAGUCCCCGUCUCUAGCACCAAGGAGAUUUUAUGAGUGUGGAGAGUUGGGUAACAUGUGAAGGUAGUGUCCUCGUCUACUUGGAAGUUCAUCUCAGCAGAGGGGUCAGCCAUCGACUUCGGCACCAGUUACCUCAUCACCUACCCAUCCAUCUAGAGGUGGAGGACAGUCAGCUAAGGGUCGCCCCAAAGGGGGAGGUGGAUCAGAUGGUGGUCAGCCCUGAUUCUAUGCACUCCCAGCCAGACCCGAUGCUAUUGCUUUAGAUGUUGUGAUUACAUGUAUUUUCUUAUUUUUCCACAGAGAUGCCUCUAUGUUAGUUGAUCCCGGUUCCACUUUUAUGUGUCGUCAUAUUUUUCUCAUUUUUUUGGAUUCGCCCCGUGAGUCUCUUGUGUCAUCUAUUUGUGUAUCUAUGCCGGUGGGUGUCACACCUCCUUUUUACAACCCCGAGGAUAUAUAAGAUUUUUUCCAAUUAAAGUAACAUUAUUCGAAAUGGUAUUAUUUAAUUUAUUAGAGUCGCCACUUGGAAUAGUUUAUUUGGUGUCCCAAGUCACCGGUUUAUUUUAAANNNNNNNNNNNNNNNNNNNNNNNNNNNNNNNNNNNNNNNNNNNNNNNNNNNNNNNNNNNNNNNNNNNNNNNNNNNNNNNNNNNNNNNNNNNNNNNNNNNNNNNNNNNNNNNNAGUCACCGGUUUAUUUUAAAAUCCCAAAUCGAGGAAAAUUUUAUUUUUAAAGUCUGCGAACCAGAAAUUCUAGAUAAGGAAUUUUGUUAACUCGGGAGAAGGUGUUAGGCAUUCUCGCGUUUCGUGGUUCUAUCACGGACGUUUAGUAAUUAUUACUUGGCUUAAAUUGUUUAACUACUGAUCUUUAGAGCCUAUUUGCAUUUACCUUUAAACCGUUUUUAAUCACUUGAUAGUUCAUAAUUAAAGAAUUGAGUUACGCGUACGUAUACUCUUUUCCAUNNNNNNNNNNNNNNNNNNNNNNNNNNNNNNNNNNNNNNNNNNNNNNNNNNNNNNNNNNNNNNNNNNNNNNNNNNNNNNNNNNNNNNNNNNNNNNNNNNNNNNNNNNNNNNNNNNNNNNNNNNNNNNNNNNNNNNNNNNNNNNNNNNNNNNNNNNNNNNNNNNNNNNNNAUACUUUGAUUUAUUUUGGGAGUCAUAAUCAUGUCACGCGAACGUGUACACAAUUACGAUGAUUUAAUUAAUAAAGUGCAGGCCUAAAGCAUUCUAGCCUAUUUAUUAUUUAUUUCUUUCCUAAGUUUGAGAUCAUUGUGGAGGCUAUGAGUUAUGGAAGAAUAUCUUUGUGGAAGAAAGGCAUUUUAGCCAUUUGGACCAAACAUAACAAUUACACAAUUAUAGAAAAAAUGAGCUUGAUUUUGAUUUAUUAACCUUGGGUCAGUUCUCAUGCAAACCACCGUGCCCAAACAUUGUUAGUGUUAGUCCAACCUUUAUAGUCCCUUAUUUAGGUAACUUACUGCAUAUUGAAUCUAAUANNNNNNNNNNNNNNNNNNNNNNNNNNNNNNNNNNNNNNNNNNNNNNNNNNNNNNNNNNNNNNNNNNNNNNNNNNNNNNNNNNNNNNNNNNNAAAUUUAAGCAACAGAACAUUAAUCAAAUUGACGAGAAUAAAUAGCAAAAAUAGAUAAGUUGAUAAUGAAAGCAAGAAGGAAAAAGAAUGACUUUAUUUGCAAACGUUUUAUUCCUUUAUUAAUAAGCUCCUCAAAAUUAAUGAAUUAGUAUGGAAAUUGUUCACACAUAUUAAAUAUUACAUACAAAGAAGAAAACAAAAUUUAACCAACUUUUUCUAUCUUAUCAUAUAGCAAAAUAAGAGCACAAAUAUACGAUUCUAGCAAAUAUCACAAGCGAAUUAAAAUAAAAUUCAAACUUUGAGGAAACAUAGAUCGCAUAUCAUGUUUAAUCAAUAUAACAAGAUUGAGUGUUACCUUUUGCAAAAAUUCUACUCAAUAAUCGAUUUAAUCUACUAAUUAUCAAACUUCUAGAACCCGCGGACCCGAAACCACGAAAGAAAUUCGGAACUCCAACUUCAGAUUUAAUAACUUAGCCAACUUUUUGUUUUUUUUCGUUCUCUCUGCCCUUUCUUCUCCCUCUUUUUUUUUUCAAUUGUCUUUCCUUCUUUUCUUUUUACGAUUAUGUUAACCCCUCUCCCUUUUCUUUUUUUUUUUCGUUCUCUGCCCUUUUUCUCCCUCUUUUUUUUCAAUUGUCUUUCCUUCUUUUUCUUUUUAUGAUUUUGUCGUCCCCUUUCCUAACCCUUUUUUAAUUAAAUAAAAGAAGAUAAAAAAAGCACACACGCAUAUAAAACUUACUUUAGAUUUAAAGAAAACUAUAAGAAAACCUAAUAUUUACAUUAUAGUUUAAAUUAUACUAUGAAAAGUACUAUAGCUUACAUUUAAAAUUAGAAGAAACCAAAUAUAUAUAUAUAUUUUGUAAAUUUUCUUCUACUUAAAAAUAGGAACAAAAGUUAUACUCUAAAAAUGUAAAUAAUUUUGUUUUUUUUUUAAAUUUUCAUAAAUGAAACCUAUUAAGAGAAAGAUAAAAGUUUAUAUAUUAAGAUAUAUAUAUAUAUAUUAGAAAUAUAUUUUUUAAUCUAUGAAUGAAAGUAUUUUUAUAUUUUUAAAUAAAACCUAUUAAGAAUGAUGAAAGUUUAAACGUGAAAGAAGUAUUUACACUAAAAUAGUAUAGAAUUUGGGUGUGGUCAAAAAUUAGGUAUUCACAGUGGGCGAUACUAUUGUUGUGGAAUGUGUGCACCGAUCGUGUGUGGUGACUAUUGGGGGUCUGGAGACCCAAGUAGACCUUUUGUUGCUAUGUAUGUUGAUGUGAUAUUAGGCAUGGAUUGGCUAUCUCCUUGUCAUGCUAUAUUAGACUAUCAUGCUAAGACAGUGACGUUGGCUAUGUUGAGUUUGCCACGGAUUGAGUGGCGGGGUUCAAUUGAUUAUGUUCCUAGUAGGGUAAUUUCAUUCUUAAAUGUCCGAUGUAUGGUAGGGAAGGAUUGUAUUUCUUGCUUAGCCUUUGUGAGGGAUGUCAGUGCGGAGGCUCCUAGCAUUGAUUUUAUUCCAGUUGUGAGGGAUUUUCCUGAUAUGUUUCCUGCAGACCUGUCGGGCAUGCCAGCGGAUAGGGAUAUUGAUUUUGUUAUUGAUCUGGUGUCGGGAACUCAGCCCAUUUCUAUCCCACCAUAUUGUAUGGCACCAGCAAAGUUGAGAGAGUUGAAGGAUUAGCUGUAGGAACUCCUAUAUGAGGGAGUUAUUUAGCCUAGUGUGUUGCCUUGGGGUACGCCUGUUCUGUUUGUGAGGAAGCAGGGUGGCACAAUGAGGAUGUGCAUUGAUUACAGGUAGUUAAACAAAGAUACAAUUAAGAACAAGUAUACUUUGCCUCAUAUUGAUGAUUUAUUUGACCAACUUCAUGGGGCGAGGGUGUUCUCCAAGAUUGAUCUUCAUUUGGGUAUCACCAUUUGAAAAUCAAAGACUCGGAUAUUCUUAAGACAACUUUCAGGACCCGAUAUAGGCACUAUGAGUUCCUUGUAUGUUUUUAGGUUGACCAAUGCCCCAGCAGUGUUCACGCGUUUGAUGAACAGCGUGUUCCAGCCGUAUCUCGACCUGUUUAUUAUAGUUUUCAUUGAUGAUAUUUUGGUAUAUUCCUAUUAUUAAGAAGAGAAUGUGAAUCACUUAAGAGUUGUGUUGUAAAGAUUGAGGGAGAAGAAGCUUUACGCAAAGUUCUCCAAGUGUGAGUUUUGGCUCGGUUUAGUGGAUUUCUUGGGGCACGUGGUGCUCAGUGAGGGUAUUCAGGUUGAUCUAAAGAAGAUAAAAGCGUUGCGAAGUUGGCUCACACCGUCCUUAGCCACAGAGAUUUACCGUUUUCUUGGUUUGGCGGGUUAUUACCAUCGGUUUGUUCAGGAAUUUUUAUGUAUCUCAUCACCCUUGACCAAGUUGACUCAAACGGGUGCUCCUAUUAUAUGGUCGAAUAAGUGUGAGGAGAGGUUUUAGAAUCUCAAUACUACCUUGACCACAACUCCAGUGUUAGUAUUGACAUCAGCUUUAGGUUCAUAUACCGUGUAUUGUGAUGCUUAGCGAGUUGGUAUUGGGUGUGUAUUGAUGCAGAAGGGUUGAGUUAUUACUUAUGCUUCUCAUCAAUUGAAUCCCCAUGAGAAGAACUACCAUAUUCAUGAUUUGCAGUUGGUUAUCAUUGCACGCGUUGAAGAUUUGGAGGCAUUAUUUGUAUGGUGUGUCUUGUGAGGUAUUUACUAAUCGUCGUAGCCUCCAAAACUUGUUCAAGCAGAAGGAUCUCAAUUUGAGGCAAUGGAGAUGGUUGGAACUGCUAAAGGAUUAUGAUAUUACUAUCUUGUACCAUCUGGGGAAGGCCAAUAUGGUGGCCAAUGCUUUGAUCCGGAAGGUGGUGAGUAUGGACAGCCUUACAUUUAUUCCUAUUAGGGAGAGACGUCUUCCAGUUGAUGUUCAAGCCUUAGCCAAUCAGUUCGUGAGGUUGGAUAUUUCAGAGCCCAGUCGGGUACUGGCUUGUGUGAUUUCUCAGUCUUCCUUGUUCGAUCACAUCAGAGAGCGGUAGUAUGAUUAUCCUCAUUUGCUUGUCCAUAAGGAUAGAGUUCGGCACAACAAUGCCAGAGAUGUGGCUAUUGGUGAUGAUGGGGUAUUGAGGAUGCAGGGAUAGAUAUGCGUGUCUGAUGUGGAUGGUCUUCAGGAGUUGAUUCUAGAUGAGGCUCAUAGCUCAAGGUAUUCUUUUCAUCUGGGUAUCGCGAAGAUGUAUUAGGAUCUGAGACAACAUUAUUGGUGGAGGAGAAUGAAGAAGGACAUUGUAAGAUUUGUAGCUCGGUGUAUUAAUCGUCAACAGGUGAAAUAUGAGCAUCAGAGACCCAGUAGCUUGCUUCAGCGGUUAGAUAUCCCAGAGUGGAAGUGAAAGCGGAUCACCAUGGACUUCGUAGAAGUUUGAUGCAAUUUGGGUAAUUGUGGAUUGGCUGGCCAAGUCUGCGCACUUUAUUCCUGUGUGUACUAUCUAUUCUUCAAAGCGGUUGGCAAAGAUAGAUAUCUGGUAGAUUGUUCGUUUGCAUGGUGUCCCAGUUUCUAUCAUUUCAGAUAGAGGUACUCAGUUUACUUCACAGUUUUGGAGGUUUGUACUGCGAGAAUUGGGUACUUAGGUUGAGUUGAGCAUAGCUUUUCACCCUCAGACGAACGGGCAGUCUAAGUGCACUAUUCAGAUAUUGGAGGACAUGAUGGCGUGCUUGUGUCAUUGAUUUUGGAGGGUUAUGGGAUCAGUUUCUACUACUCAUAGAGUUUUCUUAUAAUUACAGUUAUCAGUCGAGUAUUUAUAUGGCUCCAUAUGAGGCUUUGUUCGGAAAUCAGUGUAGAUAUCUGGUUGGAUGGUCUGAGCCAAGUGAGGCUAGGCUAUUGCGUACAGACUUGUGUAGGAUUCUUUAGACAAGGUGAAGGUAAUUUAGGAGAGACUAUGUAUAGUGCAGUCGAGACAAAGAGUUAUGCUGACAGAAGGUUCAGGAUGUGUCCUACAUGGUUGGUCAGAAGGUUUUGUUUAAGGUUUCGCCCAUGAAGGGUGUUAUGAGAUUUGGAAGAAAGGUAAAUUGAGUCCUCGUUUCUUUGGGCCUUUUGAGGUACUUUGUAGGAUUGGGGAGGUGGCUUAUGAGCUUUCUUUGCCACCCAACUUGUCGAGUCUGCAUCCGGUAUUUCAUAUUUCUAUGCUUCGGAAGUAUAUUAACGAUCCGUCUCAUGUUUUCAAUUUCAGCAUGGUUCUGUUAGAUGGUGAUUUGACUUAUGAUGUGGAGCCAAUGGCUCUUUUGGAGCGUCAGGUUCGAAGUUGAGAUCAAAGGAUAUAGCUUCAGUGAAGGUGCAGUAGAGAGGUUGACUCGUGGAGGUGGAUACCUGGGAGAUCGAUCAGGAGAUAUGGAGCAGAUAUCCUCACAUAUUUGAGGCUUUUGGUAUAUUUCUUAACUCGUUCGAGGGCUAACAUUUGUCUAAAAGGGGGAGGAUAUCUUGACAGGGCCGGUCAUUUUAUGAGUUACCCCUCCUAUUCCCCUAUUUUUGCUUCUUAUUACCUUAUUCGGUUGUAUUAUGUGUUAUCGGGUUGGUUGGCUAGAUUUCGAAGAGGUUUUGGUAAGGUUUGAAACACUUGGUCUCUUUUGAGUAAGCUUAAGUUGGAAAAGUCAACCGGAUUUUGAAUUAUGGGAAAAGCGCAUGGAUGUAAGUUCUGAUGGUCUUCGGGAGGUUAUUAGAGACUUAGGAGCAUGAUCGGAAUGUAUUUUGGAGGUCCGGAGCAGAUUUAGGCUUGAAUUGGCAAAAUUGGAAUUUUAGCAUUUUUGGUUGAUAGGUGAGAUUAUGAUAUAGGGGUCGAAAUGAUAUUCUGGAAGUUGGAGUAGGUCCUUUGUGUCAUUUUUGAUGUGUAUGCAAAAUUUCAGGUCAUUUGCACGAGGUUUGAUGGACUUUUUUAUCGAAAGAGAAAUUAAAAAGUUUUUGAAAUUCUUAGGCUUGAAUCCGAUGUGAAUUUGGUGUUUUGAUGUUGAUUUGUGUGUCCAGAAGGUUGGAAGAAGUUUGAACGAUGUUAUGGGUUACGUUCGCAUGUUGAGGAGUUGUAUAUUUUCUUCAGGCCUGUUGUAGACAGUUUGCUCACCGCGAUCGCGUGUAAGGGGUUGCGAUCACGUAGGCUUGUUUGGGGGUUGAGGUAGAGUUUCCCUAUGCGAUCGUGUGAGGCAUGUUGCGAUAGCGUGGGUCUGUAUGGUGUAGCUUCACGAUUGCAUAGAGUUGGUUGCGAUUGCGUGAGUCUGUGAGGUAAAGCUUCACGAUCGGGUAAGGUUAAAGGAGGGUAGUUGGCUUGUGUGCUUUGCAAUUGCGAGGCAUUUUCCGCGAUCGUAGUGAAGGAAUUUAAAAAGAUUGGCAGAAUGUUUAAAAGGCCAUAUCCGCAAAUUUAGUUCUAAGUUACACUAUUAUUGAGCGAUUUUAGAGCUUUUUGAGAAGGAUUGAAGGUGGAAUCAAGGGAAAACAUUUGGAGGUAAGAUUUAUGGACUUAAUGCUCGAUCUUAAUAUGAUUUCUACCUAAUUAAUUGUGGAAUUUGUGGAAUCUAAAGCCUAAAAAUUGGAAGUUAGUGCUUGGAAAUUGGAGACCUAAAUCUAGGGAUUUAAGGGGUCAUUUGUGGUUGGAUUUGAUAUAUUUGAUAUGUAUGAACUCCUGAGAGUAUAAGGAUUCUAGUUUUUUAAUUUUUAUCGAAAUUCGAGACGUGAUCCCAGGGGUCGGGUUUGGCGAAUUUCGGGAUUUUGUAUGUAAAUUUAUUAUUUUCGAGUGGGCUUUUUUCCCUUAGCAUAUUUUUGAUGUAUAAAUAUGUUUUUGGAUAGAUUUGGAGCAUCCAGAGUCUGAUUUGAGAAGCAAAGACAUCGCAGGCUAGAGUUUGGACCCGAUAGAGGUAUGUAAUGAUUGUAAAUGUUGUCCUGAGGGUAUGAAACCCCGGAUGUCAUAUCAUUGUGCUACUUUAAGAUGACGCACACGCUAGAUGACGAGUGUGGGGUCGUGCACCAUUGGGGACCAUUGGGGAUUGUGAGUUAGUCUGUCCCAAAUGACUAUUAAACUGUAUAUUUGAUCGAAAACGGUUUGAUAUCAUUGUCUUUUGGAAAGUAUUAUCAUGUUUUGGGCUUAAUGUCAUAUUUAGGCCCCGUGCCAACUGUUUUGGACCCUUAGGUGAUUUUCACUACCACACCGCAUUGUUUUGACUUCAUAGUUAUACUCAGUCAUGUUGUAUUCUACUGUUUUCAUAACUCGACCAUAUUUAUUAUAUUUUGACAUCUCAAACGAUAUUUUGGGUUGAGCUACUAAGCCCGAGUGGCUUUUAGGGAUUUCUGUGUGUGAGGCUGAGGGCUUGUAUUGUGAGGUUAUUAUGGAAUCGGGUUGUGCAUCACAGCGGUAUUGUACUAAUUAAUGGCUAUGAGUUUGAGGACUUGAUUUGUUAUACCACGAGGUGGAUUGUUAUAAGACCGAGUGUCUAUUUGAUUAUGCCACAAAAUGGCUUGAUAUUGCACUUGAGCUCCCCUCACGAAAUCUGUAAAUCCCCAGUGGGCGCAAGUACCCAGUGUGAGAUGUAAUAUAGCCCGAGGGGCUGCUGUUUUUCCAUGUGCAGAUUCAGGAGUCUCGGGUCACGCUAACGAGGGCUUAUUUGCUUUGCAGUGGCUUGUUCGGAUUUGACUAGGUAGUUGCUCGACAUUCGCAACCCACUUGUCGCGACCCAAACCCCGAACCCGGCCGUGAUGUUGCCUCUCGUGAAGACAAGGCCAGUCAACACUUUCCAUUUUCUAAUUAUUAAAAAAUAAGCAUAUAAGAACAUGCUAAACAACAUAAGAAUAAGUCCAAAAUACCGAUAAUAACAUAAAAUAUGUUGAAGAAUACUCAUACACAGCCCUAACCGGGGUGUCACUAGUCAUGAGCAUUUAUAAGUUCUAAUACAAGUCUAAUAAGUCUAUAACUAUCACAAAUAUCUUAAAAGAGAGAAAUGAUAAAGAAGGAGAAACACGAGUCUGGGGAUGCCAAGUAGCUACCUCAUGGACUCUGAAGUCUGCCGAGAUCUCUCAACUCUACUGGCAGGAUCAGCAACGGCCGAAUCUGCACACGGGGUAUAGGGAGUAAAGUGAGUACUCCAACUCAGUGAGUAACAAAUAUAAAUAACGACUGAAAGUAAGAAAACACGUAAGGCACAAGGCGUUCUAUAAUGAAGCAGUAAAAUCACAUAAAAUCAGGAAAACCAGUAAAAAUCAAGUAAAAUCCUCUUUAAACCAGUCAACAGGUAAUUGAAACAUAAUUUAGGAUAAAGUAAACAAAUAGAAAUAUCGCCCUUCGGGCACAGUAUCAACAAUUCAGCCCCUCGAGUAGCAUCUCAGAAUAAUACCAGCUCCUCGGGCUCAAUCUCACAUCAUAAUAGCUACUCGCGCUCACUGGGGGUGUGUGCAGACUCCUGAAGAGGCCCCUUACGACCCAAGCGCAAUAAAAAGCCAUCUCGUGGCAUCGAAUCUCGAUCCUGGGCCUCAAAUCAAUCUAGCCACUUCGUAGUGUACAUAUCUCAGGCCCUUGGUCUCAAAUCUAUAUCAGUGUUACCUCACAAUAUAGGCCCUCGGCCUUACUCAGUCAAAAUCAUCACAAGCCCCUCGGGCGUUAGUAAAAUAGUGUUUCUUAGCCCAAAUAUCAUUUAAAAUAUCAUUUAAGUCUCAAAACUGAGUAAACAUGGUUGAGUAGUAAAACAGUGGAAAAUAACUUGACUAAGUUUAAGUAAUAAAUCAAAACAUUGAGGAAAUAUCAAAUAAAGCCCUGAAGGAUUCAAAUAGUUGGCACGAAGCCCAAACAUGGCAUUCAACCCAAAUAAUGAUGAUAGCAAAUAGUUUUCAAUCAAAUACGCGAUAAAAUCAUCAAUCGAGAUGAACCAAGUCACAAUCCCCAGUAGUGUACGACCCCACGCUCUCCAUCCAGCGUGUGCCUCACCUCAAUAUAGCACUAAGAUGUGUAAUCUGGGGUUUCAAACCCUCAGAACAUCAUUUACAAUCAUUACUUACCUCGAACCGGCUAAAUUUCUAACUCGUAGUGCUUUUCCCCUCGAAUCAGCCUCCACGUGCAUCGUCUAUCCAAAAUCAUAACGAGGGCAUCAAAAUAUUCAAAGGGAACAAAGCCUAAACGAAAAAAAUCAAUAAAGGGCACAAAUCCCGAAAUUAACAAAAUCCAACCCCCGGGCCCACAUCUCGAAAUUUAGAAAUUUUCAUAUCAAUAGAUUUCUCGUCUCCUCACGAGUUCAUACAUACCAAAAGUUCCCAAAUCCGACCUCAAAUGGUCCUUCAAAUCCCAAAUCAGAAGUCCAAUUUCUCAAGCCCUAUUUCUUAAGUUUUAAGCUUAGUUUUCAUGAUUUUCUAGGUAGAUUUCACAACAUAAUAGAGUUUUAAGUCCAAACAUCUUACCUCCAAUUGUUUUCCCUUAAAUCCCUCUUCAAUCUCUUUCAAAAAGCUCCUAAAAUGACAGACUAUGGAGGAAAUAAGUCCUCAAAUCACAGAUAAAACGAAUUAAAAACACUCUGCCCAAGCCUGACUUCUCUUCUUCGCAAACGUGGUCAAAGCCUCGCGUUCGUGAAGCACAAACUUACGUUUACCAACUUUUUGCCCUACGCGAAUGCGGAAUGCCAGUCGCGAACGUAGUGCUUCCUCCACCUUGACCUUCGUGAAGACGAUGAACACCUUGUCACACCUCCUUUUUCACUACACCGGGCGUAGAAAAGGGAGUUUUUUCCAACUUAAAGAGACAAUUGAAACAGGAUUUAUUAGUUUAUUAAAAUCAGAGUCGGCACUUGGGAUAAUUAAUGUUGUCCCAAGUUACUGGUUCAAAUACCGAAUCGAGAAAAAAUUUGACUCUGAUAUGCAGUCUGCAAACACAAAAAUCCGGGUAAUGAAUUAUGUUAACCCGGGAGAAGGUGUUAGGCAUUUCCGGGUUCCGUGGUUCUACCACGACCGCUUUGAUUAGACUUGGCUUUUCAAAAUUGCUUAAUUACUCAUUUUAGAACCUGUGUGCCCUUUACCGCUUUUAAAUUAAAAACAACUAUCUUGAAAUGUGUCACGCGUACAUGUACCUAUUUGUUUAUCACAUCAGAAAUCUUCUCAUACGAAUGUGUCCACAAUUAUAACGCUUUAUUUUUAUUAAAAGAAAUUGGGCCAAAGUUGCGCGAAUGCAUACUCCAGUUUUGUUUUUAGAAUCGCCAUCAUGUCACGCGAACAUGUCCACAACCGCGAUAGUAUAUUAAAUGGCCCAAAGGUUUUUCUACGAAUAUCCUCAUUAAUAACUAAUUAAAGUGUUUGUGAGGGCCGUAGAAAUUUUUUAAACAACGCACCUCGAUCUCUAAGAAUUUUAAAAGAUUAAUUAAAUGCGGGCCACACAUUUGAGAUUUUAUCUGGCGCGACGCACCUCAUUACCGAUUUAAAAAGAGGAACUCAAACUAAAUUUCGAAGGGCUACAAACUAUUUGUGUUAUCUAAUAUGGCUCACCUCCAUUAUUUGAAAGAACAUAGUUAUCUAAAUAUUAAAGGAGUUGGGUUUCUACUUAUUGUAUACUACUGUUAAGUUUAAAAAAACUUAUGAGCAACCCACGUCUGAUUGUGAAGGACUUUGAGCUGGUCGCAAGCCAAGGACUAACCAUCCUUUACUAUAAGUCAACAUAAAGACCAAACAAGCCCACAAUGAAGCCCAGCACGGAGACCAAGUCGCUGAAAGUGAAAACCAAUACAAUUGAGCCAAAAGCUGGUAGCCCAAUAUACCCACUUAAAAAUUAAUUCCAUGAGUCAGCAUUGAAUGUAAAAUUAACUUAACAUCUUUUGUCGCAUGGCAAUCUAAGAGAACAUCACUACCCUAAGGAAGAUCAAAAUUCAACUGAGAAAUGAUUUGAGAAACUUAUUAACAUAUAACCAAGGCCCAGCAUGCUUUUCUAUGCGAACAAACGAGUAUGUGCUACCUGAAAUUUACUUUUGGUUCAUUUUGUAAUUUCACAUGGAUCACUACUGAUCUCAAACCCACGUAUGAAUAAAUAUCCACCAACCAAAUAAAGCCAAAAUCAGACCCAAAAUGCAGGACUAAUAUUUCCAAAUGUGACAAUCAUCAAAACAUUUCUUGUCUUUACUUAUGUUAUCCAACACAACAGUAGGCUUCAUUUACACUUGAAAAUCAACACAAUGGUAUCAUACAGCCUAUAGAUUAGUCCCUGAUGAUAUCCAUAUUUCAAUAAUGACAAAAGUUCAGCUAUUGCAACUAAUAUUCAGCAUAUAUUUUUAACAACUAAACCUGAAAGUGCAUACCAGAUCUCCAUCUGCAGCUUAUACUAACAAUAUUAAAAUUCCUAUGACUUCAGUAAUCAAAGAAUCCAUUCAAACUAAGUAGGCUACCAUUAACUCGAAUCAACAGAACCCACAUCUUAUGCAUAUUAGAUACAUAGGAACUUAAGCAAACUUAAUAUUCAGUAUAACAAACUAAGAUUUACAGAGAGAAGGAAUUCAAAUAACAAGCUAAUCAUAUGAACAGCACACAAGACUAAAAUGUCAACUCCAAACUUCUAUUUUUCAUAUUACUUUCAACUUGAAGAUCACUUAUACAGGUUUCAGAAUAUGUACCUGGAAAUUGCACAAAAAGGAAAAGAAGUGACGGACUAGCAAUAAAAUAGUAGCCAGCAAACCAGCAACACCAGUUCCAACGAUUAAAAACCUAGGAAAUCAACUCAGCAAAACCAGUGAAAGAUUAACCCCCAAUCAAAAAACAUUAAUAACCAAAUAUCAAUCCAUUUGAAUAUCAGAAUAGGUACUAUUGUUUUUCAGAAGUAAAGAAAAUCACUGAAAUUCAAUCGAGGAGUAGAACUUUUGGCCUUUUUGUAUUUUUCUGGAAUUCUAUCUCUAAUUUUCUCUGCCUUGAAAGGCAAGAAUAAGGUGCCUUUAUAGGAAAGCAAAUAGAGCAUACCUAAGAGUUCAAUUUUCACUUGUCCCUUUCUAAUUCUUAUUUUGGCUUAGGUGUCCCUGUUUGAUUUUCUAUCAUUCAAAAUAACUCAUUCCCCAACUUCCUAGAAGUUUCCUAGUUAAGAAAGAUUCAUUCUAUCAAAUCUCCCUAAACUACCCUUCAAGAAGUUGAUAUUUACCUUCACAGAAACUCAGUUUAUGGGUCAAAUUAAACUAAGACCCCACCCAACCCAUGGGCUUGCAUACUACAACCCAAACUGAAUUUCCAAACCUUGAACUUAACCGAAACUUUUAAAGAAACAAACUUCCGAAUAUUUUAAACAGAAAAAGAUUUCAAUAGAGAUGCUUGGGAAACAGUAAUUCAAAGCAAUUAAAUCAUCCAUUUAAUCAAAUUAUACUAAGAUACUAAUAUGCUAAUUCCCAUUUUAUUAAACACCAAACUAAACCUGAAUGGAAAAGGGAGAAGACUCAAAAUCCUAAUGACCUAAGGUAGUUCAACUUAUUACUGUUAACAAACUUAAAGUUAGCAGCCUAAAUCAUGAAAUUAAAUAAGAAAUAACACUCGUGAAGAAAGAAACCAAAAAAAAUGAAGCGAAGAUCAGAGAGAAACAAAACAAUCACAAAGAAAAAAAGAAUUACCCCCAUACCUACAUUGGAUAGACCCUUGUAUGAACUUGAACCUUUGACCAACCAAGAAAGUAACAAAGGGAAGAACCUAGGGCUUUUUCAGACCCCUGCUUCAACGUUGAAAGUCCUGGGCUGCUUUGAAAAGAAACGAAAGCUCAGUUCAGGUAGAAAAGGGUGAGGGAUUGCAUGGUGCAAGUUUUGGGUAGAAUUAGGACUUUUAGGGUGUUGGUUCUAGAUCUAAAAUUCGAGGAGCUUAGUGAUAGUUUUAAAUAAACGAGCUGGGGAUUCGGGACGAGGAGAUGGAGGGGAUUAUGCGAUGUGAAUUUAGGCUUGAUUGGCUGUCGGCCGCCACCAUGGGAAAUUUCCGGCAGGCAGCGGUCGAAGGGCGGAGAUCGGCAGACCUUCAGGGUGUGAUAGGGAUGAGAGAUGGGGAGUGGGGUGUCGUUAAGACAUAUAUACAUCUCCUUAGUUUAGAACCGUUAAUGUGAUGAGAUCUAAC
rnacentral:lncRNA from 1 species